rnacentral:tRNA from 1 species
UCCCGCAGUGGAAGGCCCUACCCAUAAAAUGUGAGAAGGAAGCGAAGCGGGCUACUUGUCUUGCUCCGAGCC